CAAAAAAUCGAUAGAAAAAAAGCACUAAAUGAAAUUUUAAAUUUCGGUAAUUAGAGACAAAUUAAAUAAAAAUCAAUGAAAAUAUCGAAAUUUGAAUUAAUUAAAAAAUGAUUGUGCGAUCGUCGUAACUCUAUUAAAGCGCGAAUAAACACGAAGAUAUUCGGGUAACUUCGUAUUGCGUCGGGACUUUUCGUUCGAUUUCGCGCGAACGAAGUACGAGCGCGGGAGUCGUGUGCCACGAAUCUUUCGACGUGAGGUUGUGACCGAUCUUUGAUUUACAUAUUUUAUUUGUAUAAGUUUGUACGUGUAUAUAUUGCAUCGUGAUUCGUAUGAUGAUCCGAGUGAAUUCCCGGCAGUGACGAUGAUACAGAAGUAGCGGUGCAUCUCGUUUUUACGGAUGUUGGGGAUCAAGAAAAGUUUGAGGAUCACUGGAAUCUUGGACGCAGGCUGAGAACUUCUGGGAAAUAAUAGCAGGGAUUGCAUUGACGCAUUCACGAUCUGAUCACCACAAUCUCAAAGUUGUUCCACUCACCAGAUGAAACACAUCCGCAGCGAGGGAAAGCGAAAAAUGUGUGGACCCAGUCGGAUAACCACUUGCACCGUGGUCCUCUUUAAUGUGGACGGGCCAGAGGAUGUCUAGCGACUGGUAAAUCGCGGAACAUUUCAAUUUCCAACGCGACUUGGACAUCACGUGACACAAGUUGGAAACUACGCCUCUGGCAUGGGGACAGAAGGGAUUCAGAAGCGACGAGGAUGGGGCGCCAGUUCGCCCGUUGCUCCGGAACAGGCAGCAAUAUUUUCAUAGAAUAUUUUCUUUUUUUUUUUUCGUGGAAGAAUAUUUUUUGGUUCUUAUCUGAGAUUUAUCGAAGGAUCGGUGAAGUUUGAUGAGAUAAGAAGAAAAGCUAUUUUCUAAGAUGGAGGAGAAUAUACUUUGGAAAUUGGAAAUUGGAAUUCAAGAUGAAGUUUGAGGUUUGGAGAUUUGUUUGAAAUUAUUUGGUGGAGAUUAAGGUGAAGUUGGGGAAUAUUUGGAUACUUUUGAGGAUUUGAAUAUGGAAGGAUCCUUCACAAAGGAUUUUCAAGGAUGUUCAUAAAAGAAGACAUGUGCACAGAUUUGGCGAUGAGAAUCAUAUAAAUAUCUAUUAACCGUCAACUUUGGUAGAGAACGUAUCGAUUGACCCACAAAGGGGAUCACAAUCAUGCGAACGCCGAACAGAAAUUAUAAAGAUUGCCAUUUAUUAAAGAAUACUAGAACACAACAAGUUUCCAAGAAUACUUACUGUUCAUCCUCUUGAGAUAUGAAAGAAGAAAGACUGAGUCUCACAAUUGACUAGAUAAAAGGAAACGAGUAAACAAUUUUCAACGACACGAGAUUCAAAGAAGGUACUCAAUGUGCACCCACUUCUGCACCAUUGACAACCCUUAUAUAUAGAAAGAUCAUCUGUUUAAAUUCAACCCACUCUUCCUAUGAUGCACCAUGUCUCGAACAGUCGUGAUGCACGAGGAUCGAAAGAGGAAUUGACAAGAGAAUUUUCUCUCGAGGACUU